AACGCUGGCGGCAGGCCUAAACACAUGCAAGUCGAGCGGAUGAGUGGAGCUUGCUCCAUGAUUCGAGCGGCGGACGGGUGAGUAAUGCCUAGGAAUCUGCCUGGUAGUGGGGGACAACGUUUCGAAAGGAACGCUAAUACCGCAUACGUCCUACGGGAGAAAGCAGGGGACCUUCGGGCCUUGCGCUAUCAGAUGAGCCUAGGUCGGAUUAGCUAGUAGGUGAGGUAAUGGCUCACCUAGGCGACGAUCCGUAACUGGUCUGAGAGGAUGAUCAGUCACACUGGAACUGAGACACGGUCCAGACUCCUACGGGAGGCAGCAGUGGGGAAUAUUGGACAAUGGGCGAAAGCCUGAUCCAGCCAUGCCGCGUGUGUGAAGAAGGUCUUCGGAUUGUAAAGCACUUUAAGUUGGGAGGAAGGGCAGUAAGUUAAUACCUUGCUGUUUUGACGUUACCAACAGAAUAAGCACCGGCUAACUUCGUG
rnacentral:rRNA from 1 species